UUCAGUGUGUAUGCACUGUGCUGUUCUCAUUAUUGAAUUGCUAGCCGAUGGAUGGACUGAUAUUCACCACAUACGUCCCAUCUGGCUAAUUUCCAAGCUGAGCUGGAUAUUUCUGGUUGAGCGCCGAACUGAGAACACACACCGCGCCAGUACAAUAGAGCACUUCAGAUGACGCGGCAUGUGCUGUGUACGCAUCCAAUUUGUUCACCUUUUCGGCAGCCAGCCCCUCCUUAUUUGUAAGCAUACAACUGUUAUAUACCACCACAAACUAGCUAAAGGUUUUAUUUGGAAAAUUAAUAAUGUGAAGCAAAAGAACUUACAUAUUAUUUAUAAUGAAGUUGUACUAAUGUACUGUACUAACACAUAGGAAAAGACCUAAAAUGAUGAUGUAUAGUAUUUUUGGUACACUCAUAAAAAAGAGAAGACAGAAAACAAAAGAAAUUUAACAUAAAAAGUUGUAACGAUUGUAUUCUCUUGAGUACGAAUACUUAAGCAGACUUCAAAUGGAAGUGAUCAAACAAAUUUUGAUGGACGCAUUUGUUUGUGUGGCUGCUCCUAACCGGAAGAAGGACAUAAAAGAACUCGUGGUAUCAAAUGCAUCAUCGGUGAUUCUGUGGUGAAGUCAUAGGGGUGCGAGGGCUGGGCGUGCUGGUGCAGCGGUACUUAGUGGGGUUCGGGCGAAGGCAUUGAGACCGCCAGAG
rnacentral:lncRNA from 1 species